GACAGAGGGUGCAAACGUUGCUCGGAAUCACUGGGCGUAAAGGGCGUGUAGGCGGGAAGGAAAGUCAGAUGUGAAAUCCCUGGGCUCAACCCAGGAACUGCAUUUGAAACUCCCUUUCUUGAGUGUCGGAGAGGAAAGUGGAAUUCCUGGUGUAGAGGUGAAAUUCGUAGAUAUCAGGAGGAACACCGGUAGCGAAGGCGGCUUUCUGGACGACAACUGACGCUGAGGUGCGAAAGCUAGGGGAGCAAACGGG
rnacentral:rRNA from 1 species